UACGAAGGGGGCUAGCGUUGCUCGGAAUCACUGGGCGUAAAGCGCACGUAGGCGGACUCUUAAGUCGGUGGUGAAAUCCUGGAGCUCAACUCCAGAACUGCCUUCGAUACUGAGAGUCUCGAGUCCGGAAGAGGUAAGUGGAACUGCGAGUGUAGAGGUGAAAUUCGUAGAUAUUCGCAAGAACACCAGUGGCGAAGGCGGCUUGCCAGAAUGCGCUCGACGGUGAGGGAUGAAAGCUGGGGGGAGCAA
rnacentral:rRNA from 1 species